UUGAAGAAAGGGUACAACAAAGUCAUUUCUUUUUGUAGUAGCAGCAACAUUAUAUACAUAUAUAGCCAUAUACAACAAUCAUUUUUCAUAAGAAUUAGAAGUAAUAGAGCAGCAACGUUUCCAUUUACGCGCGGACUGAAGGUUAUUUCCUAGUGAUUCUGUAGCCCCUCUCUUUUUCUUGUGGUUUAUUUGAAAGUUGUUGCAAGUUGGAGCAAGCUGGGUUAAGUGUGAUUCUAAGUUAUUUGAGGUCGAGGUGCAUACGAGCUGAGUGCGCUGCGGCGUUGGAUAAGUGGACCGAAGGUCUAAGUAGACGGACAGACUUUCCCGGUAGGCUGCCCCAGUUCAGCAUUGAUUGUCACACUCCAUUCAUAUAUAUAUAUAUAUAUAUAUAUAUAUAUAUAUAUA